ACUUCUCCCGUACGAAAAAGAUAGCAGGAUUCCGCCUAAUAUAAGCAGGAAAACGCUUAAAAUUUCCGUGUAUAUAAGAUUUUCCUGCUAAUUUAAGACGGACACGGAAUUUUGUAAAAAAUCCUGCUAAGCAAUUUCAUAUUCCGCCUAAGGCUUAGGCGGAAAAUAUGGGAUGAGCAAUAAUUUAGACGGGUUUUAGGACUUAGAAUUUUGUCAGUUAUUUGUUAACAGGAAUUAUGUACUUAGACUUUUUUGUUAACCAGAAAUUGAACUUAGAAAAUUUUACUAGACAGAUUUCUGAAUUUGGAGAAAUUUCUGCAGAUGACAGGUAUAUAAUAAAUCGAUUAUUAAGUGAUCAACAAUUAUUUUGCUGCUUUUAUUCAUUGUUAAUUUUCAAAACUAAAAUAUUGUUUGUACAAACAUAAACAUACAUAAUCAUUAAUUGAUAAAAAAAAACUCCACAACAAAACUAAAACUUAGAACAUAUUAUAUAAUGAUGUUGUGAUGACUUUUGCAUAGAAUAUAUUUCACUGUGUUAAAUUUGGGUAUGAACUAAACUCAUAUAUUAAGCUUUUUAAUGUAAUAUAAUUAAAUGAGUAAUAUCCCUGAAAAUUUCUUAUCAACAGGAUAAAUAAAUAAAUACUGCCUCUAGUAACCACUCUACUAUGAUUUAACACCACAGACCUGAUAACACACAGGUCAGAUCGUAAAUUCUGCUACAGUCCAGACUGUUCCAUGUGAUUUAUUUGGGGGGAAGCAACAGUUACUUUGUACAUUUUAUAUGAUGAGUCUGUUAAGAAGGACUUUGCAAAGUUUUUUUAAAGAUAUUUAUUAUGAAUUUUGGAUUCUUUUUCCAUUUAUUUUCUGGUAUUUUUAUAUAAUUGUGAAAAUAAAACGAUGGGUUGGAUUAUCCCUAUUUACCAUCAUAUCAUGGACUUGUCCAUAAUUUGAAAUCUAGGAAAUAUGGGUCAGCAGAAGCUUAGACAGUGGAAAUAAAGCAAAUAACAAAGGAUUUUAUUGAUAGUUAACAAUUGUGGUGAUAAUAUAUAAGCAAUUUUUGAGAUAAUAUUUUGUUUAAAGUGUAAGGAUUGAAUAUUUUUGAAUUUUUCAAAGAAAAAAAAUAAGACUUAGCCUUGUGAAUGAAAAUGACAAUAAUCUGGAUAUGCUCAGUUGUAAAUGAAUUUUGAAUGCUACAUUAUGACCUUGGAUAAGAAGAUAAAUACCAAUAUCAUAAAAAUUCAGGAUAUGUCUCAAGCUGGUGUAAAAAGAAUGGGAGGGGAGAAGUCACGGACAAGGAUAUUAAUGAUACCAUAAGUUAAAGCAGAUCAGUUAUGCUUGGAAUAAAAAUGAAAACAACUGGCUGAACAAAAAACAUUUACAGUGAAAUAAAAUGAAAUAAUUUGCCAUGGAUUAAAACAAUACAAUAGCAGUGCAAUAAAAAAUAUAACUCGUG